rnacentral:lncRNA from 1 species
UUUUCAUUCAAAGAUUUCAUGUUUUCGUAAAUAGUUUAUUGAUUUCAAAAUGAUGGACCCAAAUUUAAUGGAUCAUUUUAGAAUGUUUUUCUCAAAAAUUAUUAUCCGUAUGUAAAAGUGUUUGAAUAGCUUCCUAUGAUUGUAUUUGUGUAAUUAAAAAUAAUGUUGAAGUUGUAUGAAUACAUAACUGAAUGUGUUUAAAUGUAUGUGCGUGUGCCAAAUGAUACACAUAUAGGAGAU